rnacentral:rRNA from 1 species
GUCCUAGCCGUAAACGAUGUGCACUAGGUGUCGGGCCCUCUGGGCUCGGUGCCGCAGUUAACACUUUAAGUGCACCACCUGGGGAGUACGGUCGCAAGACUGAAACUCAAAGGAAUUGACGGGGACCCGCACAAGCGGUGGAGCAUGUGGUUUAAUACGACGCUACGCGUGGAACCUUACCAGGACUUGACAUGUAUUUGAAAGCCCAGCGAAAAGCUGGGACCUGUCCUAAAGACACAGAUACACAGGUGUUGCAUGGCUGUCGU